ensembl:lncRNA
CUGACCCCUCUCGAUGUGGAGGAGCAGCGGCUCUACUCUGAGCUCCUCUCGGCUUCUGAUAAACGUCUGACUGAAAAGAAAGUCAAGCCGAGGCACAGCUGGCUCUACAAUCAGGAGCCAUAAGGAAGAAUCUUUCCAACCGGGAUGCCACUGAUGAGGCUGUCCAGAACCAGGUCCCCAGGUACCAGAAAGGGGCAGCUGACCGUGCAGGUGGGAGAUGUCGCGGUGGUACAAGGGACCUGCCGUGAAUCUGAAUUCAAUAUUGCUGCUAAGCUGCAGGACUGUAUUAUUAUUAUUUUUUUUACUGCUGCUAUGUACAGUGUUAUAUAUAUGAUCGCAUUAUCCUCUUAAUAUAUUUAUAGCUCUGUGUGAAUGUACUGUAGUUGUAGUGUUAUGCCACCAUUCAUAAGCAUAUUGCACUGAUGUAUCGAUGAUAUUCAAUAACAAUUGAUUGC